GAAAGCAUGGGUAGCGAAGAGGAUUAGAUACCCUCGUAGUCCAUGCCGUAAACGAUGUGUGUUAGACGUUGGAAAUUUAUUUUCAGUGUCGCAGGGAAACCGAUAAACACACCGCCUGGGGAGUACGACCGCAAGGUUAAAACUCAAAUGAAUUGACGGGGACCCGCACAAGUAGUGGAGCAUGUGGUUUAAUUCGAAGAUACGCGCAGAACCUUACCAACACUUGACAUGUUCGUCGCGACUCUAAGAGAUUAGAGUUUUCGGUUCGGCCGGACGAAACACAGGUGCUGCAUGGCUGUCGUCAGCUCGUGUCGUGAGAUGUUGGGUUAAGUCCCGCAACGAGCGCAACCCUCACUUUUAGUUGCCAUCAUUAAGUUGGGCACUCUGAAAGAACUGCCAGUGAUAAGCUGGAGGAAGGUGGGGAUGACGUCAAGUCCUCAUGGCCCUUACGUGUUGGGCUACACACGUGCUACAAUGGCAUCUACAACAGGAAGCAAAACGGCAACGUUAAGCAAAUCCCGAAAAGAUGCCUCAGUUCGGAUUGCACUCUGCAACUCGAGUGCAUGAAGCUGGAAUUAGUAGUAAUCGUGGAUCAGCGUGCCACGGUGAAUGCGUUCCCGGGUCUUGUACACACCGCCCGUCACACCAUGGGAGUUGGUUCUACCUUAAGGCAAGGUUUUAAACCCUUGACCACGGUAUAGUCAGCGACUGGGGUGAAGUCGUAACAAGGUAGCCGUA
rnacentral:rRNA from 1 species